UUAAAAUAUUUUCUCCGAGUUGUUGAGUCUAAGUUCAUAAAGAAUAUGAUUCCUCAACCGAUUUGUCUGCUACUUGGUAGAUAGGGUAAGUUUGGAAAUGAACUUGUCCCGCAAUUAGCGGGAUAAACCUGCCAGCCCCAAUUUGUGUUGGGGACGCUUUGCAAAGGAGAGUCUAACUAAA
rnacentral:ncRNA from 2 species